UCACUACCACUUUCUUUGUUCAAUGAAUUUAACAUAAUCAGAUUUGGCAAGGAUGUCACUUCGUGCAAAUUUUUUUUUGUCUCUUACACAAAUGAAACCUCUGUUAAGUAAAAUAUUGUAAACAAUUGAAAUGUCAAUAGGAUAAUAUAAAGUAGUGUAAAAACUGAAUCGUAAUAAUUGUAAAACUAAUUAUAUUGGAUAGUCCUUGAGCCCAGAGUCAUUUGAAAACAUGAGUGGACAAACUAACGAUAGAAUAAUUCCUUCUUGGGAUAUGAAUUUUUUAGUAAUAAAAGCAUGUAAUAAAUAUUCAAUAAAUAAUUAUAGAAAUGUUCCUUGGAUAUCUUUGGCAAUUUUCAGAUCUUUGAAAUAACUGGAAACAGUAUCACAUAUUGCAAAUGGCUAAAUUAGAGAAAACUCAAUAGCAAAAGAGAGACACUGACACAUAAGGAUCUGGAUUAAGAAAAUGCAUGAGAAAUUCAUUCUGAAAUCAAGCUAAAAUAGUAGCUUUUGUUUUUUUUUCUGAAUUCGUUGGCCUAAAAUACAUACACCACUGUUCACAUAUGUCAGCGGUAGACUCUGGCCUUGGGUCUGUGGCUCAGCUGAGUAAUGGAAUGAGAGUUAUUAGAGUGGCUGAAGAUGGGGUGGAUGACUGAUGAGGCAAUUCGCCCCUUCUAUAUCCACACAAGCUUUCCUGAAUCUAACCUUCUCUCCUGAAAAGAAAGGCAGCAAAAUCUCUGAAAUGUGACAUUUUCAAAAUAGAACAAUCUGAGAAACCCAAUUACAUUGUUAUCCACUUAUUCUUUCUUUCUAUUGCUCUCCUUUACUGGAAGUAAAAUCAGAGGUUUUGUUAUAGUCUCAACGGGGCAGCCAGUCUCUAACAGCAUCCACUUUCAAUUAAUGUUUGAUGAAGCAGAUUUCUUCACAUUUCCAUCCCGCCUAUGAACAAACCAGUUGCAUUUGAUCUACACUUUUAAAUUUUAAAAUUUUGUAUUGUGCUAAAUUUUAGAGGUAAAUGAAUUCAGCAAAGGAGAACAAUUUGUGGUCAAAGAGUUUGCAGGAUGAAUAUAAUUUGCCCUAAGUAAAACUAGAAUGAAUAUCCUAGUUACUCAUCGGUCUUUCUUUUUAGUUCAGUUCCUAACAAAUGUAGAUAGUAUAGUGUGAACAUGUUUAUUUUCCACGUGACCUGGUCAGAUACUUGGUAAUGGCAGGGGCUGACAUUUCUUAGGGAAAAAUCUAACAACUUAACUUUAAUUGAGUGCACUGCAAGAUAGCCACUGACAUGAUUUUAUUUUUCAAAGAUUUCCCAGGAUGGGAGAAAUGUUCAUAGAUAGACCUGACAAGCAUAAUGAUUGCUUUUCCUUUGGGUAAUAAAACUAGCUACAUUUUUCUCACUUUUGCCUGUAGUUCCUAAAUGCAAAAGGAGAGCAAUUAUCACAUGAAAUAUAUGCUGAAGGUACUCUUCCUACAUUAGUCAGUAGGCAUCUAUUGCCUUUUUCAUUCAAAAUUUCCUUUUGGAAAGACAGAAAAAUUCCAGGCUAUGUAAGAUAUGUCUCCCAAAUAAAAUAUUUGUGAGACUUGGAGGAUUUCUUUUUAAUCUGUUUUAUUGACUCUAAUCUAGACCAAAGUCAGUUUUUCUCUCAUUAAAACAAGAGAGAUCCCCCUAAGCCUAUUAUUGUAAAGAAAAAAGGCUGAGAAACAAGAAAAGUUCUCAGUCAGUCACUGUCUAACAGUUACUCUCAAUUUUGAAGCUUUAGCAUAAAACAAGCAUCUGAGACAGGUAAUUAACUGUUUUGAGGUAUACAUGAAAAAUCCUUAUGCUCUCUUUAAAAAUUGUAUUUCUCACAGAUCUUUCAUAGAGGUUUUAUCUUUGCUUCAAGCAGGAAAUUUAACUUGGUAUGCCACUGUUCCUAAUAAAUAUUCAUAGUGAUAAAAACAAAAUAAAAUUAUGACCUAGGUUUUAGAUAUUUUAUAUUAAGUCUCAAGCUGAGAAUAAUAAAGGAUACCUCAGAUACCUUUGGGGAAAAAGUAAUGAGUUUGAUUAGAGAGUAAAAAAUUCAGUUUCAACUUUGGCAUAAUCCAUCAAUAAAAUUCCAUUUCUCACUCAUAUUUGAAUGACCACCCUAGUUGGAUCUAGAAGAUUUUGAAUCUACAGAGUCUCAAUGAGCAUGUGUUCACUGAAUAAGUGAAAAAAAUAUUUUGUGACACAUAUGCCCAAUAUUUAUCCAAAUAUGCAUAUAUAUUCAAAUAUACCUCUGCAUAUAAAAUAAGAACUGUGCUAAAAUGCAGAGAACACAGUGAUGAAUGAGAUAGACAUUAUCUUGGCUAUGACGGAACUUACAUUCUAGUGAGGAUGACAAAUUAUAAAUGCAUAUUUUUAAAAGACCAAAAAAAAAAAUCACAGCUUUUUAUAAGUUCAACAAAAUAAAAUUAAUCAAUAAAUGAGGUUGGAAUGAUCAGAUACUUUGUUUAGAGUUAGGGAAAGUCUCUGUGAGGAAGUGACUCUCUAAGCUGAAACCUAGGGGGAAACAGGAGCUAGGCUUUUUGCAGAAACUUACAGGAGGAGAGGAAGGGAGAGAAGGAGGAAGAAAGGAAAUGAGGGAGGGAGGAAAAGGAAGAGGAGGGGAGGCGAAGAAGAAAGGCGUAAGAAAUACUUGCUAAUUCUGAAACAGUCUUACUUUAGAAUUACUCUUCACUAGCAAUGUUCUUUCUCUGCAAAGAUCCUGAGCAGAGAACUGGAAAAGGGUCAAAAAGAAAAGGUGAAAAAAGUCCUGGCUUUCACAAACAAAAAUAUAUUCAAUUCUGAAAACUAAAGAUAAAUAAGUGUUACAAGAAUCCCAGGAAAAGUUAUGUAAUAUAUUUUUUAAUGUACUGAUUUUCACUUAUGAGAAAAAAAGAAUCACUUGUAAUUAGCAUCCAUUCAUUAAUAACACGUAUAGCCAGAUUUAACUAAUUUCCUAUAUGGAUCAUGUAAAAUUUCCAAGGACAGAUUUCUGAACUUCCACAGGGCAUUCAAAAUCUUACAAUGUACAUAACUGGGAAAAAUAUAAGUUAGGGGACAUUAAAGUUCUGUAGAUAUAUAACUGUUAAUUGGUAAUAAUGUCAAAUUAAGAGAUUUUCUCUAGUGAUGUGCUAUAGAAGCUCACUAACCUAUUUUAAGGAUUAAACAAGAAAUCCAGAUAGUGACAUAGGUAUUAUUGGUAGAACAUCUAUCAUCUCUCAAAGGAAACAGUGCAUUACUAGCUAGGAAGAAUUUCCUUACCACAAGGUCUUUCUGAAAUUUUUAUCUUUGGAUCCCAGUUUAAUCAUCUGGAAGUGCACAGAAUACUUUCAAUCUUUCUUUUAUUAUUAUGUAACAUCCCUUUGAAUGUUUGAGGAAAAAUACAAUAUUCACAUUCAGUUUUUUUUUUCCCCUUAAUUAUUCCUUGCAUCUUUAUCUCUUACUCUUAUUUUUGACCAUCUUGGCUUCUUUACACAUUUCAGUUUAUCAAUAUUCAACUUAAAGUGUGGUUCCAAGCAGUGAGCAAAGUAUGCCCAUUCCAAGGUUGAAGUGGACUAACUAAAAAGAUAGUCAGCUCUCUAAUAUUUCAAACCUGGAGCUAGAUGAUGAUGGGAACUCAGUUACUAACUAUCCAAUUGGCUCCAUAGUUUUUAAGGCCUCUAAUAUGUUAAAUAUCACCCACUAACCAAAGAUUAUGUGAACAUAAGGAUGAACUUAAAUAUUAUACAAUAUUUUAUCAAUAAUUUCAGCUAACAGUGCUAUUCUGGAUCCACAAGUAUAGAGAAUAAUCAGUAAAGGAAAGUAGAUUAAACUAACAAAAAAAGGUACUCAAUUAAAAAAUUCUACCAGUGUAGCCUUUCUCAUUGAAGUUGCUCUAUUCUUAACAAAUAAAAGCAUGUUCCUACAAACUAUUUCUAUGCCUUGGGUUAAUGCAUUAUCUCUACUAAAGCAUCUACAUUGGCGCAUUGACAAGGACGACUGAACCUGGUUUAUAGUUAUGAAAAAGCAACUUAAAAAAAUUAAAAUGUCAUUGGACUAUUUCUAAGUAAGCUGAAUUAACUGAUCUUUAAUGUGUAUUAUGCUAAAUACCAAGUGUGACAACUUUUCAAAAAUAUACUAACACUGAGAAAAUGACAUUUACACAGAAAUGUCCACAUAUCUUGAGUUUAGUCCUCAAGUUUUUUACCUUAAUUUCCUCAUCAGUGAAAUGUAUUUUGAUUCUAUUAUCAACCUCUUCCCACUACAGUUUUGCAUUUAUGCCUUAUCUUUCAUUGGUGAAGGAAUAAAGAUAUGAAUGACAAGAUGAAUGAUUGUAUGCAUAACUGAUUGAAUAAAUGUAAUGAAUAUUUAGUGAGGACUCAGGUUCUGUGAGAGAUAAAGUUCAAGGAAAACAGAUACUUGAAAUUCUGCUAAAUAAUUCUCACAAAUUGGAUAUAGCUAAAGUCAAUUGAAUUUGUCAUAGUUAACAGACACUCUUAGAAGUGUAUAUGAAGGUUGCCAGUGGGAAUCAGGAGGUCAAAGGGUCAGAAUAGAUGCAUGAUAAUUCUCCAGUAUAGGCUCAGGACACACUCUCAGAACAAUAGAUUUUAUAAACUACUGAAGUCCUAAGAAAGAUGAGGGAAGGUUCAAGUAAUCGUUUUAAGAAUUACAAAAGAAUUUUGUAAUGUGGAUAUUUGAGAAUAAUUGUGAACAAUUUGAACAGCAAACUGAUUAUAAGAUUGUCCUCAUCAUAACAAUAUUGAGCACGACAGCUUGAUAAUAAUGCAUUUGUGAAUCUGAAAGCUAAAUAUACGCCAUGCAUUUUACAUAUGUAAUUGCUUUUGCUCAUACAAAUACUGAAAGAGAGGUAUGUUUACCCUUUUAAGGAGUACGAAAUUGGUAGUAUUUAUUAUUAUUAUUUUUUACUUGAAAAUGAACCCCCCCCAACACACACACUAAAAUGCCUGCAAAAGUAAAAAUUACCUAUUGUAAAUAAAAGAAGAAACUGAAAUUUGAAUUGGUGUUUCUCCAUCAAAGGAACAAAUUUUAAGUUUUGGAUAUACAUUAUUCUUAUUUUUCUCUAGGCCUAUAAAAUUUGUAUUUCUUAUAUAUUUGUAAAGUCAGAUAUUCAAAAAUUUGCAUGUAUAUACAAAUAUACAUAUGUAAGUUUGUGUGUGUGUGUGUGUGUGUGUGUGUGUGUGUAUAUAUACAUAUAUAUAUACACUUUUUCAAAAUUUUCAACACAAUGGAAUCAAACAAUUCCUUGAUGCUUUUUGAAGCUAAAAUUGUUGUGUAUAUCUUCAUAUUAGUGUCUAUAUAUAUAUAUUUAUUCCUUUCAAUUGAUAUAAUAUGUUGCAUGUAUGUUCAUAUCUUAUUCAACCAAUUUUCUACUAAAAUCAAUGUAGGCAAAUUCCAUUUUUUAUUAAAAACAACUCUGCAGCAAAUGCCACAACACGUAUUUUUCUAUAUUUUUAUUUUUUAUUUUUAAUGCUUUUUUUUUGCAUUUUCUUAGAAUUACUGGGGCAUAAAGUUUGGGAAAACUUUAUAGAUAAAUACAGACUUUUAAAAUAUUGUUCCAACAUAUAUACUUUUCAAUACUAUACUGGACUACUUACUGCUCCCCACUCUUUUAAAAAAUAAAUGUCAUUAAACUUUUCAAUUUUACUGAUUUGCUAGAAAAACAAAAGUGACAUCAUUGUUUUUAUUUUGUUUUCAGAGAGAUAAUUUAUAUUUAAAGUCAACAGGCAGGUAUUGAAUAGAUCCAUGUGCUAUGCAUGGAUAUAGAAAAUAUGAACUAGAUUUGUUCCAAGGAGAUGAUUUUUGACAGAUAAUUUAGCAAUCCACAGUGGGAUUAUCAAACAACAGUGAACAAUGAAAGAACAAUAGCUUAUUUGACUUUUGAUUUCUCACAACAUUUUAGUACCCUCUUGUUUACUUCCUUUGGAGAGGGUUAGACUUUAGGUCUUAAAACACCAACAUAUGUGGACAUAAUCUUACCCCCUCAUAUCAAAACAUUUUUAACUUUGAGAUGUUUACAAUUUAGUGAUGAUGAGUUUCAUAUGUAAAGCAAAUACAAUUUAAAACUUUUAAAACCUUAUGGAUGGCACUGUAUAGACUUCGGGGAUAUGGAAGAAACAAAGUCAGAGAAAGUUUGAUGAGUUGUAAAACCCUCAAUUAACAGGACAACUAAAGAUUUGUUUUUGUUUUCAAAUGAUAGAAAGCACCUUCAGAUCUUCAUGAUUAUCCCUGUUAUCACAGAGAGCACUAUAGGAAGUAAGAAAUGUGUGCAAACCUCAGCAAGUAAACUAAACUCAUUGUGAUUAGUAAAUUAGGAAAGAUAAGAAAGCAAAGUUCACCACACAAAUAGAAACUGAUAAAAGAAAGAAAGCAAUCACCUUCCUCCAACACUGGUCACCAACAAAAGUGCAAACGAAAGCAUUAGAGAUCUAUGUGGUUUCAGGACUACAGGUGUAUUUACCAUGCACUCUAUCUCUCUUGUGCUGCUGGCAGAAUUUGAUCCUGAGAACCACUUUUUAGAGAUAAUAAUAAUGAUUUAUACACACUUAAAAAACAAAGGAAAACUUACUGAGUUUCACACAAAUAGUUUAUAUUUUCAGAAAAUUAAGGUUAUUUCCAAGUACAAUACUAUCAAGUAGAUAUGUAAAAGGUAUACAUCUUUGAAAAAUAUAACUCUAUUAUCUAGCUGAAUAUUCGGUGGGGAAUGGAAGCAAUCAAAAGCUUAAGCGUGCACAAUAUUUCAAUAUGGACGUAAACACACAUAUAUAAACACCUAGUUUUAGCCAUUGAAUCUCUCAUCACCUUGAUCCCAAUGUACACUCACAAAUCAGUCAUGCUUAUAAUAUGGAUGAAUUUAUUUAACUCUUUCAAAAUUGAAGUCUCUUUGGGGCUAAUCUGACCUGACUUAAGGCUCUGGGCAUAUAC
rnacentral:lncRNA from 1 species